AGAGUUUGAUCAUGGCUCAGAAUCAACGCUGGCGGCGUGCCUAACACAUGCAAGUCGAACGAGAAAGUGGUAGCAAUACCAUGAGUAAAGUGGCGCACGGGUGAGUAACACGUGACUAACCUACCCUGGAGUGGGGGAUAACUGAGGGAAACCUUAGCUAAUACCGCAUAAUACCUACGGGUCAAAGGAGCAAUUCGCUUUGGGAGGGGGUCGCGGCCGAUUAGUUAGUUGGCGGGGUAAUGGCCCACCAAGACGAUGAUCGGUAUCCGGCCUGAGAGGGCGCACGGACACACUGGAACUGAAACACGGUCCAGACUCCUACGGGAGGCAGCAGUGGGGAAUUUUGCGCAAUGGGGGAAACCCUGACGCAGCAACGCCGCGUGGAGGAUGAAGUCCUUCGGGACGUAAACUCCUUUCGAUCGGGACGAUUAUGACGGUACCGGAAGAAGAAGCCCCGGCUAACUUCGUGCCAGCAGCCGCGGUAAUACGAGGGGGGCGAGCGUUGUUCGGAAUUAUUGGGCGUAAAGGGUGCGUAGGCGGUUUGGUAAGUCUUGUGUGAAAUCUAUGGGCUCAACUCAUAGUCUGCACGAGAAACUGCCGGGCUUGAGUGUGGGAGAGGUGAGUGGAAUUUCCGGUGUAGCGGUGAAAUGCGUAGAUAUCGGAAGGAACACCUGUGGCGAAAGCGGCUCACUGGACCACAACUGACGCUGAUGCACGAAAGCUAGGGGAGCAAACAGGAUUAGAUACCCUAGUAGUCC
rnacentral:rRNA from 1 species